UACGUAGGGGGGCUAGCGUUGUCCGGAAUCAUUGGGCGUAAAGCGCGCGUAGGCGGCCCGGUAAGUCCGCUGUGAAAUCUCGAGGCUCAACUUCGAGCUGUCGGUGGAAACUGUCUGGCUAGAGUCCGGAAGAGGAGAAUGGAAUUCCUGGGUGUAGCGGUGAAAUGCGCAGAUAUCAGGGAAGAACACCCCGUGGCGAAGGCGGUUCUCUGGGACGGUACUGACGCUGAGACG
rnacentral:rRNA from 1 species